rnacentral:rRNA from 1 species
UACGAAGGGGGCUAGCGUUGCUCGGAAUUACUGGGCGUAAAGGGCGCGUAGGCGGGUCGUUAAGUAGGGGGUGAAAGGCCCAGGGCUCAACCCUGGAAUUGCCUUCUAAACUGGCGGCCUUGAGUAUGGCAGAGGUGUGUGGAACUCCGAGUGUAGAGGUGAAAUUCGUAGAUAUUCGGAAGAACACCAGUGGCGAAGGCGACACACUGGGCCAUUACUGACGCUGAGGCGCGAAAGCGUGGGGAGCAAACAGGG